rnacentral:tRNA from 1 species
AUGGCUAUAAGUUAAUGGUAGACUAUUUGCCUUCGAAGCAAUCCGUGUAGAUUCGAAUUCUACUAGCCGUA